CUCCUACCUGCAUAAUAAACAUGUAAGUUUCAAGUGUUUAAUUUGAUACUCACAUUAAUUAACAAUACAACAUACAUUAUUUAAAAGACAGCAAAUGCAAGAAGAAAGGGGAGACACCAUCUGGUAGCAGAGUUUUGUUGUUGUUGUUUUUGGUUUUAGGGUUUUGUGGGGUUUCUUUAGCUUUGUUUAAAAAGGAAGGUAAAAUCGUAUUUUGAAUGUAAUGAAAACAUCCAAAUGAAUCGGAAAUGAAAGGUGAUGUCGAAAUACCUAAGGCUGUAGAGGAAAAAAAAAAGUCUUCGCUACCAGAUGAUAUGGCACACAGAGCAUUUACAUACUCACAUCUGAAAUACUAGGCAACGUGUAAUGAAUUCUGUACACAGCAUGCACACAGCACAAGCCCGGCUAAUCCUGCCUGCCAUCUUAGGCUCGCAGGAGCAAGAUACGCAAUGCAUGCAGCACACGAGCACCGGGGAAGGAGGAGGCAAGGGACAGCUCACCUUAAAUGCAGUAUCUGAUUAAUGUUGUAAGUGACAUUGCAUAUCAGCCUCAGAGUCUUGGUUCAACUGAGUAGGAGGGAACAAAGAAAAAUGUCAUCAACUGCUGAUGCAAGAUGAGCCCAAUCACUAAACACUGUUUAGCAAACUCCAAAUUCUGCAACCAGACAGUAGAAGGCAUUUCACACACUUAAGCAGAGCUGCUGCACACUGCAUGUGUCCUUCUGCCUCUGAGAACCAGUUCUUUUGCUAAGGAAGAAAAUAAGCUGGAACGAAUACAGUCAUAUCCUCUUCUUGAAGAAAGCUUUCAAUACAGAUCCAAACACCUUGUCUGCAUUUCAUGGAGCUCCAAUUUCUGCCCUCAAAGGGUUAGAUCUGAUGGCACAUUGUCACAACAUAGACUUUCCUGGCUGGGGAUCCAAGUCCUGUGAGUAAUCAGAACUUCAUCUGAGUAUCAUGAGGAGGUGCCUCGGCCGAGGACGUUGUUCAGGACAACAUGGACAUGGGCUUUGCACAAGGCAAACCAUAAGGACUUGAACUGCCCGUGUCAUUCUCGGGCUUCUAUCAGUUGAACCUCUGAUGUAAGGAAAACUAUUGACAUUGCCAGAAUCUAUACUUAUUGUGAACCUGGAUUCCCCAGGUGGAUGAGUUUGGGAUGAAUCAGGAGAGGAGCCAUCCUGAGUGGGGACAGCCAUGAGUUAACGGCGGCACACGCAGAAUCAGUAAAACUUGGUGAUCAUAGGCCAACUCCCUGGUGCCUGAGCAUGGAGGAUGGCACAGGUGGGGCGCGCCUGAGGGGUCUGGCUCUAAUGCUUCCCCAGCUGUCAUGGCAGAGCGAACCACGCAGGAAACUGACAGAUGCAAAACAGCCCUGAAAACAAAACCGGUCUUUGAUUUUGCCCCCUAGUGGACGAGAAGAAUAUAACACCACUGCCUAGCUACUUCAACAUAGAAAUACCUCUAAUACACUGUUAAGGGGAACAAGUCAAUGGGAAAGACUUCUAAGACGUACUGUUAAAGGAAACCAGUUGUCUUUUAGCAGUUCUAAUUCAGAUAUAUUGCAAGUGGGUGCAAGAAAUCUGAAGAGGCUCCAGAGAGGAUAUGAUUCUCAGCACUAAACACAGCAGGAAAUGAAAUGCCCAGAUUGACAAUGAGGGGCAUAUGCAGAUCCACAGGAACAAAGGCUGACGACGGACAGGAGUCAAGUUUCUGCUCCGGCUCAUCAUUUCAGGUUCUCCCUGGGAUCUACUCAAGCCUGCAGCUUCAGCUGCCACCCACAUACUCAACACUGUCCAGUGACCCCGUCUCGCAGCAAGAUGAUGCUCCCGAGCGCCCAAGUACUGGAUGGUGUCACCUGAAUGUUGGAAGAUGGCUCCCUCGCAGCACGGACGCCCAAAGUCACAAUUUCCCUUCCCUCCUCCCUUCUUCCAUGCUCUCUAUUCCAGGGAGGUGUAAUGCCACCAGUAGAUGACCCAUCAGAAUCUGAACACGAUUCCCCCUGCUUAUCCAUCUAACGACCCCACAUGGCCCUUCUCUAAGGCCCUCCCCUCCAUCUCUGGGGCCCUUCCCUGAGUUCCAGCCUCCAUCAUUAUUUGUGCAAUGAAUGUGUGUCCUGGGGAGAGCUGGGAGGGCUGUGGAAUCAGGGGAGGUCAGACGGCAGAGGAGGCCUUGGAGGCUGUGUUUGGAAGGCAGGACCCGCUCCCAGGGACUCCCUCUGGACCACUGUCCCUUAACAGCAUUAACCCUGCCACCUGCUUCCAACCCCUGUUGUGCAGCAUGGUCACUUCAUGCCUUCUCUCCUCUGCUGGCACGGGGAGCAUUGGGGACAGCCUCAUUUCCACCCCUCUGCAUUCCACACUCAGGCCUGUGACCCUCGCUUUGAGGGCCCCAGCAUGCCACCCUGUCCUGCAACCCCCAAUGUGCACCGGUUGAUGUCCCUGCCCCAGGGGCCGGUUCUUGUCAGCAGCUACCUGACCUGUUCCUGCACACACUUCCAGCUUCUGGCCCAGGGUGGCCUUCCCUGACCUGCCAGCUGUCCUCCUCUCCUUGCCCCCCAUGGAGAUGGGCUGCCCUCUUUUGGCUCAUGCUCCAAAAUGCGGGCACUCAAACCAUUUCAUUUCUUGCUCUUCUUCUACUUCUUUCUCUUCUUUCCUCACUGCCUCUGCCACCUGAGCUGGCUGUCAUUCAGGGAGGGUCACCAGACACCUGCACUAAGUUGGUCUCUCUGGAGGUGAGCAGGCCCAAGGACAGAGAUGGCCUUACCUCUGUGACUUUGAAGCCCACCCUCCCCUUCCUCCUGGGUCCAGCCUUGGCUCCUUGAACUCCCUCCACCUGCGACCCCUUCUUCAGAUCAUUUCAGGUGCUGUAUGGGAGGUAUCAUUAAUUCUGCUUUCCAGAGUGGAGAACAGAGGCCCAGGGAGCUGAAGUGAUUUUGCCAUCGUCAAACUCGUUGCAAAGGCCUCCAGGGAUUCCAUGGCUGAGGCUUCAACCCAUCGCCAGGCGCACGACAGAUGCACAUCACGGGCCCCACUCCCCACGACAGAUGCACAUCACGGGCCCCACUCCCUGUGAUUCUCACUGAGGUCCUGAACUCAUUCUGCAACCCACCCAGUCCAAUAACUGCUACAUGCCAAGCUCUGGGCUGGGCCCUGGUGAUCCAGGGACAGUCAGCAUGCUGGGAAGAUGAGCUGCACAGUGCCUGGCGCACAGGGGACAUCCUGCCCUCUGCGAGGCGGCCCUGACCAAGGGCACCCUUCUCUGCAGAGCAGCCCCCAGAGACGUUCUAGCAACAGCUAACUGGUCUAGGCACAGACCCCUGGUCUGCGUUGUGCUAAUUAAAUUCUGCCUUCUGGGAAUGCAAAGCCCAGGUAGAGAAAGGGGAAGACCCAGGGAUCCCACUCCUUGGUAUUUACUCAAAAGAGCUGAAAUCGGCACACUACAGUGAGACCUGCAUUCCAGGUUUAGAGCAGCCACAGUUCACAUCGCCAAGUUUCAGAACCCGCCUGGGUGUCUGUCAGCUGGUCAGUGGAUGAAGAAAACGUGGUACCUCUAUACCGUGGAGCUCUACUCAGCUAUAAAGAAGAAUCUAUGUCAUUGCUGGUAAGAAGAUGGGACUGGAGAGCACCAUGUGAAUGGAACAAGCCAGACUCAGAAAGUCAAGGGUUGAAUGUUGUCUCUAAUAUGUGGAAGCUAGAGAAAAGUAAGAGAUUAAAAAAAGGAGUGGGGAUCUCAUGAAAAGAAAGGGAGACCAUCAGAAUAGAGAAAGGGGAUGGUGGGAGGGAGGAGGAGCAGGAGAGAAGAGGAACUGUGGAAUGAAACUGACGAAAUGAUGCUAGAUGCAUAUGAGAUGAGAUCACAAUGAAUUCUACUUUCAUGUGUAAUUAAAAUGCACAACUAAAAAAUUAUAAAUAAGUAAAAUAAAUAAGAGGGAGAGCAGUAGGGUAAAGGAAGGGAUCUGGGAGAGAAGAGGAAGGAUAAAGAGAAAUAUUAGUGAUUGACGUGCAGCAAAUUAUGUUAUGUGCAUUUAUGAAUCUGUCAGUGUGAACCCCACUAUUGUGUGGAGCUAUAAUGCACUCAUGAAGGAAAGAAAAAGGAAAUGGAUGCUGGGAGCGGCUGGGGGAGAAGCUCAUUAUUAUUCACAGUGCCUUCAAGGCUGCCCUGCACAGGCCUGGCCUAGAGGCCUCAUGGUCCAUCUCCUUCCUGGCUGAUCAAAGGACUGAUGUCCAGCCAGUGGGCAAGGGCAGGGCUGUGCCAGCUGCUGACACACAGAAACCCUGCUGUGCCUGAUGGAGAUAAGCCACUCCCUGUGCCAACUUCCUCCACCCGCCAGAGCUUUGGUGCCAAUGCCCAGCACAAUGAGAGCCUCCACCUUGCCCCAGCCCGAGGCCAGGCGAGGGACUGGCUUCAGAUAUUUAACUCUUGCUUUGCUUUUUCUGACACCUAUGCCAUUUACCCCUCUUUUCAAUGUAACCCACCAGGGCCACAGAGCCACCCAAAGGUGCUGGGGAGGCUUCUUGGAGGAGGAAGCAUCUCGAGGGGCCUUGAAGGAGCUGUCAGAGUGGGCCAAGCGGGGAUGGGGACCAGGCAGUGAAGUGGCAUGAAAUGCAAAGGCAUGAAGGGAGGGGCUGGGGAGGAGUCGGGGGGGGGGAGCCCCCUGGGAAAGGUCAAGAGAGUAGGGGCUCAGCGUGGAGGGAACAGCGGUGUCCACUUGUCCUCUGACGUGGUCUGGACUCACCCAGGGUGUUUUCCAGCCCGUGAGACAAUGGGAUAUACUCCCUUUUGCUGGACACAGGGAAGAAGAUAUGAAUAGCCAGGCUGCCAGCUGGGACCUCCAGGAUGACAGAGAAGACCACCCAAGUGCCUCAUGAUGCCCAUACCUAAAAUGGUUCACUUAAUCUUCCCCACACUCCAGUGAGAGGGCUUGAGACGCAGAGAGUGAACCUGAAUCAAGACCAGGUUCAGGACGCUUUUGAAAAACAGCCUCGCUGCAGGGAGGGGACCCACAGUUCCACCCGGCUGGCCCCACCCCAGAAACCUCCAUCCAAAUAAUGCCUCCCACUCUGCCUGCCUGCCUCCAGCACUCCCCUCUGACCUCAUUCAGUGAACCCUGCAAGAGAUGCUCUGUGCCCAGACACAUUCGCGGAGGCCAGGCCCAUCACCUUAUUGCUAACUAGGCUUCUAAUUUUAGGCCUGUGCCAUUUCCAUAUAUACAAUUUCCACUUUCUGUUCAAUUGUUUUUUAUCCUAAGGGCUUUCAACCAAGACCAGGCUGACUCUAACUCCUGGGAAAAAUAAAAUGGUGGAAACACA